rnacentral:rRNA from 1 species
AGAGUUUGAUCCUGGCUCAGGAUGAGCGCUAGCUACAGGCUUAACACAUGCAAGUCGAGGGGCAGCAUUUCAGUUUGCUUGCAAACUGGAGAUGGCGACCGGCGCACGGGUGAGUAACACGUAUCCAACCUGCCGAUAACUCGGGGAUAGCCUUUCGAAAGAAAGAUUAAUACCCGAUGGUAUAAUCAGACCGCAUGGUCUUGUUAUUAAAGAAUUUCGGUUAUCGAUGGGGAUGCGUUCCAUUAGGCAGUUGGUGAGGUAACGGCUCACCAAACCUUCGAUGGAUAGGGGUUCUGAGAGGAAGGUCCCCCACAUUGGAACUGAGACACGGUCCAAACUCCUACGGGAGGCAGCAGUGAGGAAUAUUGGUCAAUGGGCGCAGGCCUGAACCAGCCAAGUAGCGUGAAGGAUGACUGCCCUAUGGGUUGUAAACUUCUUUUAUAUGGGAAUAAAGUUUUCCACGUGUGGAAUUUUGUAUGUACCAUAUGAAUAAGGAUCGGCUAACUCCGUGCCAGCAGCCGCGGUAAUACGGAGGAUCCGAGCGUUAUCCGGAUUUAUUGGGUUUAAAGGGAGCGUAGGUGGACAGUUAAGUCAGUUGUGAAAGUUUGCGGCUCAACCGUAAAAUUGCAGUUGAUACUGGCUGUCUUGAGUACAGUAGAGGUGGGCGGAAUUCGUGGUGUAGCGGUGAAAUGCUUAGAUAUCACGAAGAACUCCGAUUGCGAAGGCAGCUCACUGGACUGCAACUGACACUGAUGCUCGAAAGUGUGGGUAUCAAACAGGAUUAGAUACCCUGGUAGUCCACACAGUAAACGAUGAAUACUCGCUGUUUGCGAUAUACAGUAAGCGGCCAAGCGAAAGCAUUAAGUAUUCCACCUGGGGAGUACGCCGGCAACGGUGAAACUCAAAGGAAUUGACGGGGGCCCGCACAAGCGGAGGAACAUGUGGUUUAAUUCGAUGAUACGCGAGGAACCUUACCCGGGCUUAAAUUGCAUUUGAAUAUAUUGGAAACAGUAUAGCCGUAAGGCAAAUGUGAAGGUGCUGCAUGGUUGUCGUCAGCUCGUGCCGUGAGGUGUCGGCUUAAGUGCCAUAACGAGCGCAACCCUUAUCUUUAGUUACUAACAGGUCAUGCUGAGGACUCUAGAGAGACUGCCGUCGUAAGAUGUGAGGAAGGUGGGGAUGACGUCAAAUCAGCACGGCCCUUACGUCCGGGGCUACACACGUGUUACAAUGGGGGGUACAGAAGGCAGCUACCUGGUGACAGGAUGCUAAUCCCAAAAGCCUCUCUCAGUUCGGAUCGAAGUCUGCAACCCGACUUCGUGAAGCUGGAUUCGCUAGUAAUCGCGCAUCAGCCAUGGCGCGGUGAAUACGUUCCCGGGCCUUGCACUCACCGCCCGUCAAG